UACAGAGGUCCCAAGCGUUGUUCGGAUUCACUGGGCGUAAAGGGUGCGUAGGUGGUUGGGUAAGUUUGAUGUGAAAGCUCCGGGCUUAACCGGGAAAUUGCAUUGAAUACUAUCUGGCUGGAGGGUUGGAGGGGGGACUGGAAUUCUCGGUGUAGCAGUGAAAUGCGUAGAUAUCGAGAGGAACACCAGUGGCGAAGGCGACUCACUGGCCCGAUACUGACGCUGAGGCGCGAAAGCGUGGGGAGCAAACAGG
rnacentral:rRNA from 1 species